UAAGACAGAGGGUGCAAACGUUGCUCGGAAUUACUGGGCGUAAAGCGCGUGUAGGCGGAUUGGUAAGUCAGAUGUGAAAGCCCUGGGCUCAACCUAGGAACUGCAUUUGAAACUGCCAGUCUUGAGUAGUGGAGAGGGAAGCGGAAUUCCUGGUGUAGAGGUGAAAUUCGUAGAUAUCAGGAGGAACACCGGUGGCGAAGGCGGCUUCCUGGACACUUACUGACGCUGAGACGCGAAAGCGUGGGGAGCAAACAGGAUUAGAUACCCUGGUAGUCCACGCCGUAAACGAUGAGUGCUAGAUGUCGCGGGUAUUGACCCCUGCGGCGUCGUAGCUAACGCGUUAAGCACUCCGCCUGGGGAGUACGGCCGCAAGGCUA
rnacentral:rRNA from 1 species